GACGAACGCUGGCGGCGUGCUUAACACAUGCAAGUCGAACGGAAAGGCCCUGCUUUUGUGGGGUGCUCGAGUGGCGAACGGGUGAGUAACACGUGAGUAACCUGCCCUUGACUUUGGGAUAACUUCAGGAAACUGGGGCUAAUACCGGAUAGGAGCUCCUGCUGCAUGGUGGGGGUUGGAAAGUUUCGGCGGUUGGGGAUGGACUCGCGGCUUAUCAGCUUGUUGGCGGGGUAGUGGCUUACCAAGGCUUUGACGGGUAGCCGGCCUGAGAGGGUGACCGGCCACAUUGGGACUGAGAUACGGCCCAGACUCCUACGGGAGGCAGCAGUGGGGAAUAUUGCACAAUGGGCGGAAGCCUGAUGCAGCAACGCCGCGUGCGGGAUGACGGCCUUCAGGUUGUAAACCGCUUUCGCCUGUGACGAAGCGUGAGUGACGGUAAUGGGUAAAGAAGCACCGGCUAACUACGUG
rnacentral:rRNA from 1 species